rnacentral:rRNA from 1 species
CAUGAAGCCGGAAUUGCUGUAAUGGCAGGUCAGCAUACUGCCGUGAAUACGUUCCCGGGCCUUGUACACACCGCCCGUCACACCAUGAGAGUUGGAAAUACCCGAAGCCUGUGAGCUAACUUAAAGAGGCAGCAGUCGAAGGUAGAGCCAAUGAUUGGGGUGAAGUCGUAACAAGGUAAC